CCAACAUUACUUGUGCUGGUACUGAGACGUAUACGUGAUUUUACUUCCUCAUUCUCGCCUUUCCUCUUAGACGGCAUCUACUCGUAUAUUCACCAAUCAGCGGGAGGUAUGUUUAGUGUGGUGGCCUGGGAUGCAGGGCUGGUGGGGCCAUGGCUCUUCACCUUCCUGCUGGUUGUGUUCAUCACGCUUCUCGUCCUCAGCAUAUCGGGAGGGCGGCCCAAGAACUUUCCUCCUGGAAUAAUGAUCCUGCCUGGCGUGGGAUCCCUCUUAUCCAUGCCAUUCGGAGCCAACAUGGAAAUGAUGCGUGGGUUAAGGAAGAAAUAUGGCGACAUAGCAAGCUUCGCAAUAUUUGGCAC